UACAUGUGUGUAUCAGGACUGACACAGCAGAUAGAGGAACCGCAGAGCUGGGCGUCGUUGGACUUCAUGUUCUUCUUCAAGGUCUCAGGGAAGAAAACUGAGAUACUGAGAUGAGAACCAGCCUUUGGCUCACAAACUAUGAAUAAGAAGAUUUUGUUUUGUUUCUUGCAGUUUGGUUAAUUUGUACUCAGCUAAUUAAAAAUCACCCUUCGCAAAAAUAAAUCCCAUCAAUGACUUAAUGCCAGACCACAAAACAGGAUGUGUAAUAAUCCAUCUAAUCCUUUAUUCACCUGGAGGGGGAAAAAAAUCACAUUAAACCAAAAAAACACCGUGAUGCUCUUUGCUGAGGCUUGUUUACCUGCAGGCCCUGAAGUUUCAACAUUCUUGUUUAAACAAGUUUCACUCCUUGGGAGAAGGCAAAUCAAAUGCUGUUCUCGUGACUAUUCCCACCAGAGAGUGGUGGGACAUGGGACAUGGGACAUGCUGAGUGUUUUUCCAUGUACCUCCUCCCCGUCUAUGGCCACCCAGACCCACUCCUCAGAUCUGUGAGGCUACGUGGGCUAGUACUGCUGAGCUGCCUUUCCAAAUCGAUGCUGCAAAGCCCCAAAUCAGGUGUGGAAAGCAGCAAACACAAACCAUUGAUCUUUCUGCUCACUGUGUGCCUGUGUCACCCAUGUCCAGCUCUGCCGUAGCUGCUAGAAGUCAAGGUAUCAUUGACUUGAGGGUGGACAGAGAAAUGAGAUUGUGGAGGCACCUUUGGUUGUGCAACCUGCAUCUGGUUAUAAUUUCUAAAAGGUUCAACUUUGUGUUUGAAUCUCCGGCCAGUUCUCUUGCUUUUCAAAGAAGUGUUUUGCACAGAAAAAAAUAUAAAUCCCUGAUUCCUAAAUUCAUCGCUUUCUCCUGUCUCAUGGCCACAGCUGCUUUGUAACCUGGAAACCCAUCUGAAUUUCCUAACUGAUAAUUUUGUCACGUAUUAGCAUAAUGGUUCACAUAAAUAGACUGCUUGAAUAUGAAUGCAACCAUUGCUGCCACUCUUCACCUGCAGCAGGCAUGACGAACGCAGUGGGUCUGUUAGUGAUUGUUCAUCUUCUUUUGCUCAGCCUUUGCAAAACCUUUUAUUUUAUUUUAUUUUAUUUUAUUUUAUUUUAUUUUAUUUUAUUUUUGAGAAGGGAUCUUACUGUAAGCAGCAGUGUCCUGAUAUACCAUGUUGUCCCAAAGAUGUUGCCAUGGCCAAAAGAUCCGACCUGUCUUUUUAGAUGUGCUGUCUGGUGGGACUCAGCGACUGCGACAGGCUUGCUCUGAUAAUGCCAGCAGUGUCACAACGCUCUGAGGCUGACAGCUUAUUUUCUCAUGACUGCUUGAGACACAGAGGACGAACUCAUACCAUCGCACAAGAGCCAGUGAUGAGGAAACCGAAGCCCUUCAUACUUUGCUGCAGCUGCAUGGAGCAGAUUCCCAAGGGGUGUUAGAGCAUCCAUUGCUUUUCACCUUCCUGAAGGAACUGCAACCGUUUUCUAC
rnacentral:lncRNA from 1 species